GACGAACGCUGGCGGCGUGCUUAACACAUGCAAGUCGAACGCUGAAGCUCAGCUUUUGUUGGGUGGAUGAGUGGCGAACGGGUGAGUAACACGUGAGUAACCUGCCUCCUUCUUUGGGAUAACGCCCGGAAACGGGUGCUAAUACUGGAUAUUCACUGGUCUUCGCAUGGGGGUUGGUGGAAAGGGUUUUUCUGGUGGGGGAUGGGCUCGCGGCCUAUCAGCUUGUUGGUGGGGUGAUGGCCUACCAAGGCUUUGACGGGUAGCCGGCCUGAGAGGGUGACCGGUCGCAUUGGGACUGAGAUACGGCCCAGACUCAUACGGGAGGCAGAAGUGGGGAAUAUUGCGCAAUGGGCGCAAGCCUGAUGCAGCGACGCCGCGUGAGGGAUGGAGGCCUUCGGGUUGUGAACCUCUUUCGCUCAUGGUCAAGCCGCAACAAUGGUUGUGGUGAGGGUAGUGGGUAAAGAAGCGCCGGCUAACUACGUG
rnacentral:rRNA from 1 species